UAGAACGUGAAUCGUCCUCGCCUCGUCGGUCAUUCUGACGUGUGAUGUUCCCCAGGCGAUUCUGUUCGUUCUCAGGUUCUCUGUUUGUUUCUUCCCAAAACAAGCGCAGAUAACGCCGCCUCUUCGCUUGAAGUGCCAUGCCGGCAGGAUUAAUGGAGGGAAAUCAUCCAAUUUUAUCGAUCUCCAGCUACUUGUCUGCAGUUUGCAACGAAUCUACUCCAAAUCAACUCCUGUUACCCGUUGCAUCCAUGCCCCUGACUUGCAGUGCUAGUUCCUGCAAAUUCGUUUUCCCCUCUGCUAAAGAUUUCAUUCAGUUUCAGUGAUUCAGAUUGCAGUCAUUCAGAUUAGCCGAUCUGUGAUCGUCUGCAGUCUUUGGUGAUUCGGUCCGCUGCUCCAUUGGUGUUUUUCUUUUCAGAGAACAAAGUUUGAGGACUGAGGUAUUGAUGUUUCAUUAGCACAGUUUCAGAUUAUCAGAUUUUGAUCAAUUUGCACAUCAAAGGUACUACUGUUGCUUCUAAAAUAUCAUCUAGAAUUAUGAAGUAUUCAUCUGGAAGUGAAAAAAGAAAAAAAUGGAAAGAUUUUUUUUUUUUGUAUGUGAGGGCCUCCAUCUUUGUUUUGCCCCUAGGCCCACUAAAUGUGAGGACCGGCCCUGGUUGUACAUGUUGAGCUUAAUUGCUCAUCUCUUUUCGUAAAAUGAUGAAUAUUUUGAUCAAAUGACCUAAUUACC